CGGGGCGUAGCGCAGCCUGGUAGCGCACCUGCUUCGGGAGCAGGGGGCCGGAAGUUCAAAUCUUCUCGCCCCGACCA
rnacentral:tRNA from 1 species